GAGCUCGUUCACUUCCUGUAGGGACUGAAAACCAAGUGAGGAGAUGAGGGAUUUCCCCAUAAUACACCAAAGAGUACAGAAAGAAUAGACACCACAGAUGGAUCUUCAGCAGCACCCAAGGGAACAACUACAUAACUGUGGAAAGACAUCCAGUCCCUUCACAGCAUUGCUGAACACAGAAGUUUGAACAAUGAAACAAUCAUCUGGAAACCAGUUUUUAGACAUCUCAUUAGAUCUGAAACUGUUUGGUGGUGUGGGGCCUUCCAUCAAAACCAACCUUUCUGAAGGUUUUGCGGUGGGUGGCUGGUCAGGGUGAGGUUGGAAAGAAGUGUGACGGGGCCCCAAGUGUUGUGAGAACUUCAGUCUUUCACCAGGGCUCACGAACCACUGAAUUACUCCUACAGGUAAGAAGCUGUUCAAAUGUGGGAUGUGUGAGGAGGCUGAUCAGACUCAUAAAAUCUGCUGACUCACAAGGCUCAUCUGUUCUUUGGCAACAUGGGAAAAAAAAUCAAAUGUAAGGUGUGUGACAAAGCAUUUGCUCAGUAAUCAUGCUUCAGAAACAUCGACACAUCCACACUGGGGAGAAGCUCUUCACAUGUGACCUGUGUGACAAAGCAUUCACAUGGUCAUUGAGUCUCAGGCUCCAUCAGAAAACGCGUAUGGGGAGAAAUCCUUUAAGUGUACAAUUUCUAAUAAAGCUUUCACAACA